GUGCCUCCUGUGGCUCAAUUCCCAGGCUGAGGGAUCCAGCCUCCGUCUACACCGCAGCCCGGAUCAGAUCGGCGAGCGGGAGGGGUUUCCAGGCAGAUUCCUACCUCCAGUUCUGAAGUCACCUCGGGGGGCUUCCUCUCCGACCCCUUCCCGCAGCUUCCUCGGAGACUGCGUCCUGAGCCGCUGGCCUCGGGCAUCUAGCAACCCCUAAAGGCAAAUGAACUUUGCAAUGGACAGAUCUGGUGGAAUUCAAAGCAAUUAAUUAAAAUGGAGGAGGCCAGGGAAGGCUUCAAUUCCCAAUACCAUUACUGCCACUGGAAUGGGUAAUUAGAGCCUAGGAGAGGCCAGCCCAUGUCAAGCCCAGGCUGGAAAUCUGCCCAUUCUGAGAAGCAUCCCAAGAGCACUCGGUAAAUACUCAUCAUAAUUACCAGUCCUGGAACUACCACCUCCAGUUGCUUCAUUCAGGCCAGUGCAAGAGGAAACCGGAAACAGGCAGGAGUGCCAGGCUGUGGCAUGCCUCCUUUAGAAGUACUGGAAGGAAACAAAACCUCGGGAUAAAGUCUAUCUCAAGGAGGUUGUGUACUGCAACCAACACCACCUCGUGGAAUUGAGGAGAACUCUAUGCAUGUCCAGGGAGACAAGCUUUGCCAGCCAGUCCCCAGAAGACUGCAAUUCCUGGGUCAAGGCAAGUUAGAGGCUGAUGACUUCAGAAAAAGCCAGAUGUAUCGUGAUGCCAAUGCAAAGUAUCUGGCUUACACAUAUUAAAAUGAAUGCUAGCUCCUCCUCCCUCCCCUUUUCCAGCUCUCCUGACAUGGGGUGGAAGUUCUAAGCAGAUUCAUGAGCAUCCUUUUAUGUGGCAAAUCAGUAUUUGAUAAGUUUUAUGGGAACCAUGUUCAAAUUGAAUAAUUUUUAAAAUAAUUCCAGAAGUGCUCCUUUUCUUCCUUUCUGAGAGCCUUUUCCACUGAUGAUUUCCUAAUGCUGUUGCUUCUUUAUUUUUUCAAUCCAGUGUGUAAUUUAUGAUGUGUAAAUCAGUACCUUUUAAAGUAAAUCAGGGGCUUUAAGUAUAAUGUAAAUAAAUAUCCUGCCCCCCCCCACACUCCAUCUUUGUUGC